rnacentral:lncRNA from 1 species
UGAGUUCGAUUAUUUGGAAUGAAUCAAUUAGACAUUUAGAAAUAAAGAAAUAGGUCUCUUAUUAGAAUUAAUUGAAAUUAGUAAAGUAAGGAGUUUAAAAUUAUAAUUUAUAAUAAACUAUCUUAGAGAAUACAUUGGGUAAACAGCAACGAUUUCUUAUCGGGGUGAUGUGAGUAAAUGCACAGUUUCGGAUCGGUAUGGAAUGAUCAUGAACUUUAUCUCAUGGACUGCUUAUUACUCUGUAACUAUGACUGUAACUAUGAUUGUAACUAUGAUUUUGUCCCUGGGGGACAAUGUGAAUUGUAACUAUGACUGUAACUAUGACUAUGUCCCUAAGAGACAACGUGAAAUCAUAACUAUGACCGUAACUAUGACUUGUGGAAUCUAUGAUUUGGUCCAUGUUGAUAGAGUGAAUUUUCAUCUCCUUCCAUGAUUGUGACUGAACGAUAUUAUGUGAUAUGAUAAUGAGUCUAUGAGCUUUUUUUAUUUGUUGUGUUGGUGAAUAAUAAAAAUAUGUUGUUAUGUGAAUGUGUACAUGAGAUAGGAUAUUCUACGUACUUAAGGAAAGAUGUUAUAUGCAUGAAUAUAUGUUUAAGAAAAGGUAUUUAUAUGUGCGAUACGUGUUCAAGAAAGGGUAUUUUAUGUGUGGAUAUAUGUAAUUAAUACGAAUAUGAUAUUGCAUUUGUGAGAUUGUGAAUAAAGCAAAAGUAAUUUAUGAGAAUGUAGUUACAUUUUAAUGGAUACCUUAUGGAUAAUUU